AUUGAACGCUGGCGGCAGGCCUAACACAUGCAAGUCGAGCGGAGCGGCGGACGGGUGAGUAAUGCCUAUGAAUCUGCCUGGUCGUGGGGGAUAACGUCCGGAAACGGGCGCUAAUACUGCUUCCUCUCAGAUGCGCCUAGGUCGGAUUAGCUAGUUGGUGGGGUAAAGGAAUACCAAGGCGACGAUCCGUAACUGGUCUGAGAGGAUGAUCAGUCACACUGGAACUGAGAAACGGUCCAGACUCCUACGGGAGGCAGCAGUGGGGAAUAUUGGACAAUGGGCGAAAGCCUGAUCCAGCCAUGCCGCGUGUGUGAAGAAGGUCUUCGGAUUGUAAAGCACUUUAAGUUGGGAGGCGUUACCAGCAGAAUAAGCACCGGCUAACUUCGUGCCAGCAGCCGCGGUAAUUC
rnacentral:rRNA from 1 species